AAGAGGUCCAGCCUGCCCAGUGACAAUGUUCAACGGCCGCGGUACCCUAACCGUGCAAAGGUAGCAUAAUCACUUGUUCUUUAAAUGAGGACUUGUAUCAAUGGCAUCACGAGGGUUGUACUGUCUCCUUUUUCCAAUCAGUGAAACUGAUCUCCCCGUGAAGAAGCUGGGAUUUUAAUAUAAGACGAGAAGACCCCAUGGAGCUUUAAAUUGCGUACUUACUUUAUGUAAAAACACCAAUAAAACCUAAAAAACUUAAGUACAAUUUUAGGUUGGGGCGACCACGGAGUAUAAUAUAACCUCCGCAACAAACAGGCCACACCUUUAUCUACGAGCCACACCUCUAAGAAUUAACAUAUUAAUGUUUAAUGACCCGAAUAUUCGAUCAAUGAACCAAGUUACCCUGGGGAUAACAGCGCAAUCUAUUUCAAGAGUCCUUAUCGACAAGUAGGUUUACGACCUCGAUGUUGGAUCAGGGUAUCCAAGUGGUGCAGCCGCUACUAACGGUUCGUUUGUUCAACGACUAAAACCCU
rnacentral:rRNA from 1 species